rnacentral:rRNA from 1 species
GAUGAACGCUGGCGGCGUGCCUAAUACAUGCAAGUCGAGCGAACAGACGAGGAGCUUGCUCCUUCGACGUUAGCGGCGGACGGGUGAGUAACACGUAGGUAACCUACCUAUAAGACUGGGAUAACUUCGGGAAACCGGAGCUAAUACCGGAUAAUAUUUCGAACCGCAUGGUUCGAUAGAGAAAGAUGGCUUUGCUAUCACUUAUAGAUGGACCUGCGCCGUAUUAGCUAGUUGGUAAGGUAACGGCUUACCAAGGCAACGAUACGUAGCCGACCUGAGAGGGUGAUCGGCCACACUGGAACUGAGACACGGUCCAGACUCCUACGGGAGGCAGCAGUAGGGAAUCUUCCGCAAUGGGCGAAAGCCUGACGGAGCAACGCCGCGUGAGUGAUGAAGGUCUUCGGAUCGUAAAACUCUGUUAUUAGGGAAGAACAAACGUGUAAGUAACUGUGCACGUCUUGACGGUACCUAAUCAGAAAGCCACGGCUAACUACGUG